UACGGGGGAGCAAGCGUUAAUCGGAAUUAUUUGGGCGUAAAGCGCGCGCAGGUGGUUUCUUAAGUCUGAUGUGAAAGCCCACGGCUCAACCGUGGAGGGUCAUUGGAAACUGGGGAACUUUGAGUGCAGGAGAGAAGAGUGGAAUUCCACGUGUAGCGGUGAAAUGCGUAGAGAUGUGGAGGAACACCAGUGGCGAAGGCGGGUCUCUGGGCCGAUACUGACGCUGAGGAGCGAAAGCGUGGGGAGCGAACAGG
rnacentral:rRNA from 1 species